GCCCCAUUGCAUAGAUACUUGAAGUCAGCCUUCAGUUAUGUUUCAGCAAGUACAUAGCAUCUGAAUGAAACUCAGGAACUCAAUAUGAUUAAGUCAGAAACUCUUACUAAUUUUAAAGUCCACAACUGGACUUUUUGGAUUUUAUUAAAACUGAUCUGCUUCCCUAUUUCACCCCUGCAAUAGUACAGAGGGGCCAGAUCUAAUAUAAAAAGGCAUGAAACUCCAUUAUAUUUGGAUGUUGUAUUAAAUCCUAAUGCCCCUUCUUGUCAUUUUCCUUCAAAUAGGUCGAUUUCUCAGCUUGUCUGAAGCAUUGUAUACUUGAAUGCAAAAAAAGAUAUCAAGAAAACUGAAUGAUACUCUUCACCUGGACCAAACAGUAAUGUAUCACUGUUGAAAUGUUGGUUUUCUCAACCAAAUUAAAGUCUUCCCCAGAUGUAUCAAUCCAGCCUCCAGGAGUCCUCUCCCUUAGGAGUUUCUGGCAUUCAUUUGCAGAGAAACUCCGGAAGGUACCAGAAGGAACCAGUAAUGGAGACAGGAAUCAAGAGAGGACAACUCGCCCCGUUAAGAGCUGGGGCCUUGGGCGCUGGCCUGCCAGCUUCUCCCCUCCCGGGCUGGGGACCCCGGCCAGCGGCUCUCCCUCGCCGAGCCUCAGUUUCCUCAUCUGCUAAACAAUGACAACUACGCAGGGGAUUUCUGUACGGACCGAACGAGUGAGGAUAGAACGGGGCCCAGCACGAGGUAAACUUUUCCCCCCACUCCUUUCUGCAUCUUGAAUCACUUGAAUUCACCACCUCCCGUGAAAAUAAAGGGAAUAAAUUAAAGACCCGAGACGAUACCAUGAAGCUGCGUGCCGGGACCCAGCGCCAUCGAGCCCGCGGUGGCGGCCCUGGCGUUUGGCUGAGACGGGGCUCUGCCCGCUCUCCUCCCUCUCCCCCGCCGCUGCACGCGCUCACGUCCGAGCCCCAGUCCCGCCGGCUCGGGCCCCCCACCCCGUGCCCCCCUCCAGCCGCCCCCCGGCCCGGGCACUCACGGUACACGGUGAGGUUGGUGGCGCGGAUGAUCUGGGAGCCGCCGCAAGUGACGGCGCACAGGACCUGGCUGUCAUCGGCCACGUUGUGCAGCUGGAAGGCCACCCAGCCGUUGCUGCGGCCCCGCAGCUCCUUGGAGAGGGACGUCUCCAAGAAGAUCGGCCCGGGGCUGGGGCAGUCGGUGCUGCAGUUGACUAGCAGGGACCCGCCGGCUGGCAUCGUGUGGUCCUGGGGCUCCAGCCAUACCGAGAACUGCGCCCGGACGCCUGCGAGGCAGGGAAAGGCUCUGUCGGUGGCCCUUACGGCCUCAUCCCAGUGCCUGCUCGUUCUAGGAUACGGAGAGAGAACAGCAUGGGCCAAGGCCGGGGAUCCAGCGGUGCAGGAAGAGUCACGGGGCCGACGAAGGGAUGCAGGUUCCAAGCAGGGCCUGGCACGCGGGGAGCCCCUACCGAGGCUGCCAUCAAAUUUGGGUUCCAGGAAGGGUGUGCGGCGGCCCGUCCGGCGGCUGCGGGGGAGCUUGGCUUUCUCUGUUCCCUACCCCCCCGCCCGCACCCUAGCUCACCCCGCCUCACCUGGGGGCAGCAGGCAGCAGCAGGCCAGCAGCAGCGGGAGGCCGAGCAGGGCCCGGUGGGCCCCAGGCAGCGCCCCUGAGGGCACCAUGAUGGCCAGCCCGCGGGGAGGACAGUCGGUGGCACAGGAAGGUGGCGCAGGGGCCAGGGCGGGGCCGCCCAAGGGAGGGACGGAAGCACCGCGGUUAAGAUUACAGCAGCUCUGGGGCUGCGCCUCGGCCGGGCCGGGGAGGGGCCGCGGGGUGCCCCGUGGCCUCGGGCGGGCAGGGGGGACCCGGCGCGCAGGGGGACAGCCCCGGGGUCCCCGCGAGGCGGCGGGGCGCUGGCGAGGCUCCCGCAGGGCGCGUCUGCAGCCACGCUGCCCUUCCCCUAGUGGAGGCACCGGAAGCGCGCGCACAGCCGGCUUCCUUUGUUCUCGGGCGCGGGGACCCCGGGGAGGGAAGUUGGAGGGGAUGAUGAGACACCUCCUUCCUGCUGAACCUUGGGGGGACGGCGGGGGAGGGGGUGCCCCGACCCCAGAGGAAGUCAGCGGGGGGAAGCUUCGGGGCAGACGGCCUUGA
rnacentral:lncRNA from 1 species